rnacentral:rRNA from 1 species
CCUACGGGACGCAGCAGUGAGGGAUAUUGGUCAAUGGGGGAAACCCUGAACCAGCAACGCCGCGUGAGGGAAGACGGUUUUCGAAUUGUAAACCUCUUUCCUCUGUGAAGAUAAUGACGGUAGCAGAGGAGGAAGCUCCGGCUAACUACGUGCCAGCAGCCGCGGUAAUACGUAGGGAGGGAGCGUUGUCCGGAUUUACUGGGUGUAAAGGGAGCGUAGGCGGGGAAGCAA